rnacentral:ncRNA from 1 species
AUUGUGAUGGUCCUUGCGAAUGUUGACACAAUCUGGUUUUCAAAGUUAAGAAAUUCAACCAAGCACGGGUAAAUGUCGGGAGUAACUACGAAUCUCUUAAGAUAGCCAAAUGCCUCACCAUCUAUUUAGUGAUGCACAUUAAUGGAUUAACGAGUUUCCCAUUGUCCCUAUCUACUAUAUAGAGAAACCACAACCAAGGUAACGGGCUUGGCAUAAUCAACGAGGAAAUAAGACCUUGUUGAGCUUGAUUCUAGUCUGACUUUGUGAAAUGACUUGAGAGUUGUAGAAUAAGUGGGAUCCUUUUUAGGUGCAAGUGAAAUACCACUACUUUUAAUGUUAUUUUUCUUAUUUUGUGGGGUAGAGAUGGGGCAUUGCCCCUGUUUUUGGCCAUAAGACACAUUUCAGUAGGUUGAUCUGGGAGGAAGGUAUUGUCAGGUGGGGAGUUUGGUUGGGACGACACAUCUGUUAAAAGAUAACGCAGGUGUCCUAAGAUGAGCUCAACGAGAACAAAAAUCUAGUGUGAAAUUAAAGUGUAAAAUAUCAUUUGAUUUUCCACCAACCUCUUGAUCCUUAUAAUUCAUUGAUGGAUAUGAAUUAAUACAUCAAUUAUAUGUUUGCAUGCAUCAACAUAGUUAAUUUAAAAUAAUAAUUGCUUGAGUAAUAUUAAGUGGCCAAUGGCGCAUCUGGAGGAAUGGU